rnacentral:misc_RNA from 1 species
UUUCCGUAGGUGAACCUGCGGAAGGAUCAUUAUUGUAUAACCGAGGUGCGAGGGCUGUCGCUGACCCGAAAGGUCGUGCACGCCCGAGUGCCCUCACACACAUCCACCUCACCCCUAUGUGCACCACCGCGGGGGUCCCCCUUUGGCUUGUUCGGAGGGGGGCUUACGUUUUCACACAAACUUUGUAUGCAGUGUAGAAUGUAUUUUUUGUUUUUGCGAUCACGCAAUCAAUACAACUUUCAACAACGGAUCUCUUGGCUCUC